UUAUUUUAUAAAUUACCUGGACAGUAUGAUUGUGACCUUUAGGUUAUGAUCUUACUGAUGAAUUUCUUCAUGAGGUUUUUACUAUUUUAGUUCCUAUUGUAGAUUCAAAAUUUAUAUGGAUUAAUUCAAAAACAAUUUGGAUUGAGAUUAUCAAAAUUUUAUUUUUGAAAAGCUUAAAUAUAAAUAUCACCAAAAUUUUAGAAGGUCUUAGCGAGUUAAGAUAUAAGUAUUCAUACUAUAAGUAUAUGUUUUUAGGUAGGGCUACUUUCUAGCUAGGAUUAGCAGUAUCAGAUAUUGGUGACGUGGCAUGUUGAUGUCAAGAAGAGGUGCAAGAUUAAUUCACCAACACCAAUUCUCAAUUCUUACAUCCUCUUUUAAUAAUAUUAUGAUUUAUUGUUCCUCCUGCGGGUAUCCUCAAGAGACUGCAAUUGGUGGUAGAAGACCUAUCUGUGGUAUGUAAUUCAUGUGGUUGAUACUUAAUUUCUAAGUAGGUUAUAAUGAGGUCUUUCUAAACUUGUUUGUAUUUUGCACCUUCAGAUCUUUCUCUUUGAGUUGUAGUUGAUUGUUGUUGAAGUUCAAAUGCUUGGCAAUGUUGCCUUUGGCACUGUGCGCUUGUAGCUGUUAAGUUUUCUUCCUUGCAAGAAGCUAUGAGGAGUCCAGGGCAGCAGCACAUGACAUUCUUCAAGAGGCAGGAGAGGAGUUGAUGAAGGACGAUGCACUAGGGUUUGAUAACUCCCAGUUUUGAAACUUUGUUUCUUGAGGUGAGUAAUGAGUCUCAGGAAGGAUUCAAAAAUAUUAAGCGAUACAUAGGGGUUUUAAUUGUGGUAUAUGCUCAAGUUGGCAAGAGUGUCAGCAACAUGUUAAAGGUUAUAAGGGUUGCAUGUUUAGAAGUUUUAGAACCAGAUAGGAGGCAGAUGAUUUUGUGAAGAGUUAGGGUUGUAUGGUAGUGAUGUACCCUCUCUAAAGCUAUCUCAAUUUGUGAGGCUGAGUUGGAUAUUAGUUUGUCAAUACUCUGUCUUUGUUUGUGAUGAGACGGGUAUCCUGCGUAAUCCAGUUUCUUCUUGGUUUUUCAUAAAACAUUGAGGCCCCAAAGGAUUGUAAAUAUUUCCGCAUGUUGCUCCAAGGUUGGUACACAGCUGACCUCUAUAUUGUUGUCUUGAUGUUUUUCUCAAAUAAAGUGAUGAUGAAGAUCAUCACUAAUGAGAAGAAAACAUGAGACAACAAAAUUUCUAAAUCCUUUGAUUGUGUUAGAUUGAGAAGCCUCUCUGAGUCGGUUUUAUAUUUAACAAGUUUAGGUCUACUAGUCCUAAAAAUAAAAAUAAAAUUGAGGUAAAAUGUUUUUUUUUCUACAUGACAUAUACAGUGUUAUUUCAUAGAAUUUGCAAUAAAUCCACCUCAAGAAAUGGUUUGUAUAAAAAUGUCAAAAGUUUUGUUUGAAAUUGCUAAAUAAAAAUAAAAAUAAAAAUAAAAAAACACACAGACACAUUAAAAUAAGAAUAAUUUAUUUUGUUACAUUUGUUAUAAUUAUUAGAUUUAAGAUAUGAUUUGGCACACUUUAUUUAUAUUUUUUUAAAUUAUUUGUGCCACUUUCUAGCCUUACUUUACUUUACAUUAUUUUCAAAAGCCAAAAUUUUCAAAGAAGAGAUUUUAUUAAUCAUGCAAGGGACCUCUGUAAAGCUUUUUAUAUCAUGCCCUUUCAAAGUUCAAGGCAUGAUAUAAAACUCAAAGACAAGUCUUAUGAUGUUUCCCUACAUAGAUUGAAACACAUAACAUUGUGCAUAUUUUGAUGUUAAAGAUGGAACACAAUAUUGCAAGACAGGACAAUCAAAAACACAAAAUGUACACCCAACAGGAAAUCAC
rnacentral:lncRNA from 1 species